ACUCAAAGGAAUAGACGGGGGCCCGCACAAGCGGCGGAGCAUGUUGCUUAAUUCGAUGCAACGCGAAGAACCUUACCUAGGCUUGACAUGCACGGAAAUCUGCCAGAGAUGGCAGGUCCUUUAUCGGGUCGUGCACAGGUGGUGCAUGGUUGUCGUCAGCUCGUGUCGUGAGAUGUUGGGUUAAGUCCCGCAACGAGCGCAACCCUCGUUCUAUGUUGCCAGCACGUUAUGGUGGGGACUCAUAGGAGACUGCCGGGGUCAACUCGGAGGAAGGUGGGGAUGACGUCAAAUCAUCAUGCCCCUUAUGUCUAGGGCUGCAAACAUGCUACAAUGGCCGGUACAAAGGGCUGCGAUACCGCGAGGUGGAGCCAAUCCCAAAAAGCCGGUCUCAGUUCGGAUUGGGGUCUGCAACUCGACCCCAUGAAGUUGGAGUCGCUAGUAAUCGCAGAUCAGCAACGCUGCGGUGAAUACGUUCCCGGGCCUUGCACACACCGCCCGU
rnacentral:rRNA from 1 species